CUCUUUCUUUUGUUUUGUGUUUUUUAAUCAGAAGAGCUCCGAAAUUUCCAGUCUGUUGCGGCUGGAGGAAUUCCCCCUCCCUUCGUUUGUGGUUUGCGGCGGCUCGGUGAGCUGAAGCAAAGUUGUAUUGCUCUCCCUUCCGUUUGUUUUCUGGCUCGGAUCUUCACUGGGUUCUGCGGCGGUGGGAGAGCGCCCCAGUAGUCCUAUUAUUGGUGACUCGUGCUGAGGUGGCGUCGACGGCAUAGGCGGAAGAGUGGUGCUACCGGUUUGGAACUGAUACUACUAUUGCUGAAUCUGUUCAGUAGUGUGGUUGUCGACAACGCAUGUUGCUUCUCUCAUCCUACGACCCUCGUUUGUGGGAUCGGCGGAAAGUAGGUUGCAGUAGAGUUGGUAUCGAUUUGGCUACCGGUGGGUCGGCUAGGCUAUUCCGUGGAGGUGCUUAGUCAACUACUUGUUGUCAACCGAAAGCGGCGGCAAAUCUUCAAUUGAGAUUACGGUGGAAGCGGCUGGUCUUGGCAACGAAUUGCACUAUGUGUGAAGGCGGAGAGACUACUUGAUACUUGGGAGCUGUCAUAGGCUUCCUCGAUUUGGUGUGCAGUCAGAUGCUACGGGAGGGUUUGGUGACUGAUCCACUACGAUAAACAGGUCCUCAUCGUGCUGUUAAAUCUGGCUCGCGAGUUACAAGGAGGGAUUCCGGAUUGAAGCUCCACCGACUCCUGAUCAACGAGACUCGUUCCGGUUCUGUCUCUUUGACGGGGUAGGGCAAUCAAUUCUCAACUCUCUCUUCUUGCAACACUCGCCGACAGCAAUCUUAGGUUGCUGUCGUUGCUGCCAACAGCAACGCCACAGCUCCUCGUCACGCCCUUGUUCUCCUCAAAUUCUCUGUUCGUCCAAGAAGAGCUUUGGCGCGUGUCGUCAUCGUGCUUUAGCUGCUGAUCCAUCAGCAUUCCGGUGGCUGUUAGUCAUAGUGUGCUGGUUUUAACUAGGUUUUUGACGUCUAGAGUGACUUUUAUUGGGGUGUCGAUUCGAUUGGUUCAAGGCAAGUUAAUCUGGUGGCUUUAGGACGUUGUUGAUAGCGAAUUCUUGAAUCACGUGUUAUUGAUCGUAGUGGAUUGGGAGCCUCUUUUUAAUUAUAUUCAGCCCCCUUCCAUGUU